UUAAAAAGCUCGUAGUUGGAUUUCUGGGAGGGUGCCAUUGUCCGCCAAAGUGCGUGUGCAGCGGCGCCCUUCCAUCCUUCUGUUAACGCCCCUUGGCAUUCAUUUGCUGGUGGCCGGGCUCAGAUAUUUUACCUUGAAGAAAAAUUAGAGUGUUUCAGGCAGGCUAGGCCGGAAUACAUUAGCAUGGAAUAAUGGAAUAGGACUAUGGUCUCUUUGUUGGUUUGAGGGACUGCAGUAAUGAUUAAUAGGGAUAGUUGGGGGCAUUAGUAUUUAAUUGUCAGAGGUGGAAUUCUCAGAUUUGUUAAAGACUAACUUAUGCGAAAGCAUUUGCCAAGCAUGUUUUCAUUAAUCAAGAACGAAAGUUAGGGGAUCAAAGACGAUCAGAUACCGUCCUAGUCUUAACCAUAAACUAUGCCGACUCGGGAUCGGGGGCGAGCACUAUCCGCCUUCGGCACCGUAUGAGAAAUCAAAGUCC
rnacentral:rRNA from 1 species